rnacentral:sRNA from 1 species
UUGACAGCAUUGGAAAAUGAAGCCCUCUCUUCUUUAUCCAGAGAAGAGGUAGUAAAGCACAGGCAGAGGCAGAGGCAGGGUAAGCUUCUCCAGGGCAAGCUGCCCCAUCAAUUUGCCUCAAUCCUGACCUGGAGGGAUCACUUCUGAAGUGAAAAGGGUUGUUAAAAUCUCCAUGUCAAACUAAUCCUUGGCCUCU